GACGAACGCUGGCGGCGUGCUUAACACAUGCAAGUCGAGCGGUGCGGCGAACGGGUGAGUAACGCGUGAGUAACUGCCCCCCUCUCUGGGAUAACAGUUGGAAACGGCUGCUAAUACCGGAUAGUGGGGGAUGACUGGCGUCCUAUCAGCUUGUUGGUGGGGUAGUGGCAUACCAAGGCGACGACGGGUAGCCGGCCUGGGAGGGGGACCGGCCACAUGGGGCUGAGAUACGGCCCAAACUCGUACGGGGGGCAGUAGUGGGGAAUAUUGCACAAUGGGGGAAACCCUGAUGCAGAAACGCCGCGGUCGGGAUGACGGCCUUCGGGUUGUAAACCGCUUUCAGCCAUGACGCGGUAGUGGCAGAAGAAGCACCGGCUAACUACGUGCCAGCAGCCUCGGUAAUUC
rnacentral:rRNA from 1 species